UGAAUCAUCAAAUCUUUGAACGCAAAUUGCACUCUCUUCGGAGAGUAUGCCUGUUUGAGGGUCAGCCUAAAAAAAAAAAUCGACAUAGUCGCUGUUUCGAGGUGACAUUUGUCGGAAAUUUUGUAAUCUUAAAUUUUUGGGUAUUAAGGGGUUUAAAAUUUUUUUUUCGGUUGCACGAGAGUUUUUAAGUUUUACUUUUUUUAUUUUUAUGGUAUCGAUAUUUAUUAGACGGGGCGGUG
rnacentral:misc_RNA from 1 species